UGGUGUACUCCUCAAUGCCAUUGGAUGAAUCCCGGAAUAUAUUCCAGUCUGUGCUAGCAAAACAGUCCUGUAGCGUAGCAUCUGCAUCAUCUGACCACUGGUACCUCCUGCUUUAGGUACCUCCUGCUUUAGGGAGAGCUCUGUGUGUGGAGUAAAGGUGGUCUGGAGUUUUUUCCCCCUUCUGGUUGCACAUGUGACAUGCUGGUAGAAAUUAGGUGAAACGGAUUUAAGUUUGCCUGCAUUAAAGUCCCUGGCCACUAGGAGCGCCACUUCUGGAUGAGCAUUUUCUUGUUUGAUUAUGGCCUUAUACAGCUCGUUGAGUGCGGUCUUAGUACCAGCAAGUUGCAGAGAACGACUGCAUUGUUUGUUUAUCUAGCUAUCUAACAACUUGCAAGGCAAGUAUCACCCGGUCACGUUCAUAUUACCCACCUUGAUGCUGCAGACUCUCCCACUGUGUUUCCAGCAACAGCUUCUCCAGAACCUUCCAGCAAGUGGAGGGAAGGAGGGAGUAUGAGACCCCAGCUCCUCGCAGGUUCAACCCAAAGCCCACACUCUGGAACACCACUAAACUCCGGAACACCCAGAACACUACACAGCUGCACAGCUCCAGGACACAGAAUACACCUCACACAGUGCAAGGAAACUUCUGGAGGCCAUCCCUAACAACAGCAGCAGCUUGGCAGCCAGAGGUGUGCAGCAGCAGUUUUCUUAGGGUUGCCAUAGCAACACCACCGAUGGCAACCUGCAAACAGUGCAAUCCAGGUAAGAGGGAGAAGAAAAAAAAUGUUUGUCAUGUUUUCACGAUUUGAAAACAUAAUUGGCUAUCUUUUGUCUAUUUGACUAUUUCCUCCUCCCAAACAAAAACAUGCAUCUGUACCAUACCUGAGGCAUUGUGCACUUUAAAAAGAGCUGUAUGAUACUUAUUCUUAAUGUUUAGUCAAUAAAUAUUUGACUUAUUUUAUACAUUGUAAUAUGUACAGUGCCUUCAGAAAGUUUUCACAUCCCUUGACUUUUUAAUUGAUCAGAUAGAGAUGUAUUGUCACUGGCCUACACACAAUACCCCAUAAUGUCAAAGUGGAAUAAUGUUUUUCAAAAGAAAUUGAAAUGAAUUAAAAAUGAAAAGCUGAAAUGUCUUGAGUCAAUAAGUAUUGAAGCCUUUUGUUCUGGCAAGCCUAAAAGUUGCAUGGACUCUGUGUGCAAUUAUAGUGUUUUAACAUGAUUUUAUAAUGACCCCCUCAUCUCUGUACCCCACACAUGCAAUUAUCUGUAAGGUCCCUCAGUCAAGCAGUGAAUUUCAAGC